rnacentral:rRNA from 1 species
UACGGAAGGCAGCAGUGGGGAAUAUUGCACAAUGGGCGAAAGCCUGAUGCAGCUAUGCCGCGUGUAUGAAGAAGGCCUUAGGGUUGUAAAGUACUUUCAUCGGGGAGGAAAAACAAAACUAAUAAUUUUAUUUCUUGACGUUACCCGAAAAAGAAGCACCGGCUAACUCCGUGCCAGCAGCCGCGGUAAUACGGAGGGUGCUAGCGUUAAUCAGAAUUACUGGGCGUAAAGAGCACGUAGGUGGUUUUUUUAAGUCAGAUGUGAAAUCCCUGGGCUUAACCUAGGAACUGCAUUUUGAAACUGAAAUACUAGAGUAUCGUAGAGGGAGGUAGAAUUCUAGGUGUAGCGGUGAAAUGCGUAGAUAUCUGGAGGAAUACCUGUGGCGAAAGCGGCCUCCUAAACGAAUACUGACACUGAGGUGCGAAAGCAUGGGGAGCAAACAGGGAUUAGAUACC